rnacentral:misc_RNA from 1 species
AAUCGCCCAUGCUAAUCAGUCUCCUGGCAUUCCACAACACAUGGCUUACUUACAACCCCUCACAGGAGGUCAUGUUGGAGGGCGCUUGCAUUUAAUGCCUACAAGCCCGGCAAAGUUUUGUGAUGAAUGUGGUUCUCCAUAUCUUAGAGAAACCUCUAAAUUCUGCUCAGAAUGUGGUGCAAAAAGGCUAGGUACGUGACAUGAUCUUAAAAUCUCUAUGAAGAUCUGUAAAUGUAUUAAACCGUUUCCUCCAUUGUAAGUUGUAAAUCUUGGUUAUAUAACUAGGCAGGGAUUAGUCUUGUUUCUCCCUUUCAAGCUGAGAUUGAUUGUGGUUAGAGUCAUAGUUGUCAAAUCUGGAUUGAACCAGGCGAUUGGACUAGUUUAACUGAGAAUUGGAGUUUGAGCCAGUCCGAUCUGCUUGUAGAUCUGCUUGUAGAACUCUUUCAAAAAUCCCCUGUAAACUCGUAAGUAAGAACUGACUGGGUAAUUAGCGAACUAGUAAUACGCAUAUAGAUUUUUUAUGGGAUUCUCCAUCUCCUAUGGAGAACAAUCUACUUCUAUAGAAUAUCAUAAUACGCAUAUUACUAGUUCGCU